GACGAACCGUGCGAACGUUGUUCGGAAUCACUGGGCUUAAAGGGUGCGUAGGCGGGCGAUCAAGUCAGGGGUGAAAUCCUCCAGCUUAACUGGAGAACUGCCUUUGAUACUGGUCAUCUUGAGUAAGGUAGGGGCGUGCGGAACUGAUGGUGGAGCGGUGAAAUGUGUUGAUAUCAUCAGGAACUCCGGUGGCGAAAGCGGCGCGCUGGACCUUAACUGACGCUGAGGCACGAAAGCUAGGGGAGCGAACGGG
rnacentral:rRNA from 1 species